rnacentral:ncRNA from 1 species
UGUUGUACGACUGUUUAAUUAAAACAAAGCACUUUGCAAAAGAUGAUAAAUCUAAGUAUUGAGUGUGAUCUCUGCCCGAUGCCGGCUGGUUAACGAAUAGAUUAAACUAAAAGGUUUGAUCUUAGAGGAACCCCCGGUUAAUGGCGGCCUUAGCGUGAGGGUCCUAAGGUAGCGAAAUGCCUUGGCCGUUAAAUGCGGUCUUGCAUGAAUGACGUAACGAUACAACA